rnacentral:lncRNA from 1 species
AUAAAAGUUUAUCAAAACUUUCUUUAAGAAAUGUAUAGUUUCAUUUCAUAUCAAAACCUCGGGAUGUCAUGUUCCCAUACAGAUGAAAAGCAUAAACAAGACAUUAUAAGUCUUUCAAUAGUUAUUUACAACUAUUGGCAUAUAAUCCAAAAAUCUCUCACCGUCCUCCAACAAUGCUCGGGGUCCACUACAUGUAAUCAUAAAACUGAGGGGGUCAGGCUUGGGAGCCCGGUGAGCAUAUAGGGUUUUCAACCCACAUUAAUAAUAUACUUAUUAAGUUCACCAAUCAACAAUAACCCUGAUUACCCAUUCCCGUUGUCCUCACUUUACAUCCCUAAACACCUAUCACAAGGGACCUAGCCUAAGGAAUAUGAUCGGGAUGGACACUACUGCUAAGGGGUUUCCUCAGCCAUACAUGUCCUAAAGGCAACCAUGAGGGGGAUGGAGUACGCCAAUGAACAUUUAAUUCAUCAACACCUACAAGUUGCGANUAGUGUUCCAGAUUGUCUAGAGAAGUCCGUGGUCGUCAUCUCUACUCCGCUAGAUGACUACAACAACAACAUCGAGGCCUCUCGCCUUUUUAACACACAUCAACUAUUUCAUCUACCCAUGUUCUACCCAACAUAUUUUGUAAAUAAAAGCAUAUACAGUGUAAAACUUGUAUCAAACAUCAAUUCAACAGUCACCUCGAAUAAACAAUAAACAUAUUUACACAUAACUCAUAUUUCAAGGUAAAUACUUCAUAUCUAUGUGUAAAUUGAAAGUAACUACACACUCACUUGUUUUGAUGAAAAUCGGGCAGCAAUUUGUUUCCUAAAAUGAUCGUUUCUAAUAAAACCGGGAGUUUUAUUGAGAAACCGGGCUCUACAAAAGUCGGGCUUCGAAACCGAAAAGAUAAAUUUUCUGGGCUUCACGGGAACUUCGUGGAGUAUUCUGGGGUUUACAAUCGAUACCGGGGCUUCGGGGAAGGUUAAGGUGAAGAAAAGAUGAAGAAAGGGGUGAAAAAUGGCAAAUAUUCAAUUCUGCCCGAGAAGGUUCGCAAGUCCCCUUCUAUUUAUAUGGUCUGAAGUCGGCUUCGGUAGUGGGGUCCGCAGGUGCGAGGGACUCAGUGGCAGCUUCUGAUUGGACCGUGGUCUACUGGUGCACAUGCGAGGUUCGGAGCUAGGCUAUGCGAGGCUCGGAACACGCGGCAGCAGGGCGAAGCUUCGGCCGGAGAGCUGGCUGCUUCGGAUUGGGCCUCCUCCUCGGUCGAAUCAGGAUCCGACGCGUGGCUUCGCAUGACUCAGCAGCUCGGUGACUCAGCAGGACACGUGCAAAGUGUGACUAUGCAAAUUUUUUUCGAUUUUCAUGCCAAAACUUCUAAAAUCCAUAACUUUCACAUACGAGCUCCGUUUUUGAUGUUCUUUAUAUGCACGCGUAGCUAAAAUUAUGCUCUAAAACUUCCAUUUAGACUUCGUCGGCUAAUUUUGAAUUUAAUUUUUUUAUUAUUAUUUUUAGCAGACCGGGACAAGAAAUCCGUUAAAAAUUCAUAACUUCUUCAUCCGACGUCUGUUUUCGUCAGACUUUUUACCGUUGUGCUCCUAAUGACGAGACCUUCAAUUCUCGUUUAGGUUGUGUCGGCUAAAAAUCGCUCGAUCUAAAAUUCGAGUUUUUAGUUGUCUACUACUAAGCUGAAACUUCGAAAAAUCAUAACUUCCUCAUACGAAGUCAGAUUUGGGCGUUCUUUUUAUCGAACUUCUCGGUUUGACGAAUAGUACGAAUUUCGUUUAGAUUACUACGGCUAAAAAGUAGUCUAUCAAAAACUCACUUUUUACGACAUUCAGCACCGUGCCGGUUUUGUCGCGAAACUUCGACAGGUCAUAACUUCUUCGUUAUAACUCGGAUUUUGGUAUUCUUUAUAUCCCCGAAAUCCUUGUUUCGACCACUACAACUUUAUGUAAAGAUAUCGGGCUUAUCUCACACUUUAAUUUUGACGUUUAUUUUUAUUCUUAAUUAAUUAAGCCCUAAUAAUUAAGCAUAAAACACAUAAUUCAUAUAAUAUUCACAUAAUUCCUUUUUAUUUCUUCAAAAUGAGUUACAAAGGUUAACCUAGACUAUCAACUCAAUAUAAAUGCCUAGGCUAGAAACACGAGUGUUACAAUUCUCUCCCCCUUAGGAUGAUUCCGUCCCCAGAAUCACAUAUCACCAAACAACUGCAGGUAGCGACUCAUCAUGUCACUCUCCGUUUCCCAAGUGAGAUUUGGUCCAUUCGUAUGUUUCCAGCGCACAAGCACUAAAUCGACCAUCUUGCGUCGUAACUUCAUAGUCUUACGGUCAACGAUUGCCUCAGGUUCUUCGAUCAACCUCUUGUUUUCAUCCAACCUUAACUCAGAAAUCGGAAUUAUGUCGGGCACAUCUCCUGUGAACUUUCUCAAGUAACACACAUGAAAGGUGUUAUGAAUACCCUCCAGUUCUUCCGGUAACUCUAGCUUGUAAGCUUGAUUCCCGAUCCUCUAAAGAACUUUAAAUGGUCCAAUAAACCUUGGACUCAACUUCCCUCUCUUACCAAAUCUUAUAAGUCCCUUCCACGGCGAGACUUUAAGUAAAACCGAAUCUCCAACAUCGAAGGAUAUCGGUUGUCUUUUCUUGUCAGCAUAACUCUUUUGUCGAUCUUGAGCAGCUAACAUCCUUUCCCUUAUCACUUUCAACUUUUCAGCAGUCUCAUGGACUAUUUCAGGUCCCAUAAACUGCUUUUCCCCAGCUUCCAGCCAACAUGAUGGCGUUCGACACUUUUCCCCAUACAAAGCGUGAUAAGGUGCCAUCUUAAUGCUUGAGUGGAAACUAUUAUUAUAGGAGAAUUCUACUAAAGGUAAGUGUUCAUCCCAGUUACCUUGGAAUUCUAGGGUACAUGCUCUCAGCAUAUCCUCCAAUGUUUGAAUCGUUCGCUCGCUCUGACCAUCGGUUUGCGGAUGGUAAGCUGUACUCAAACACAACUUGGUACCCAAUUCCUCUUGUAGACUCCUCCAAAACCUUGAGGUAAAACGGCUAUCACGAUCGGACACAAUCGUUAACGGAACACCGUGAAGCCUCACAAUUUCCUUCACGUAAGAAUUCGCAAGUUUAUCCAUAGACCAUUUCUCUUUGGCCGCUAUGAAAUGCGCACUCUUAGUGAAGCGAUCAACGACCACCCAAAUCAUGUCGUGACCGUUCCUUGUUCUGGGCAGUUUAGUCACAAAAUCCAUGGUGAUGUCUUCCCAUUUACCCAUGGGUACGGGUAAAGGUUCUAAACUCCCAUACGGUUUCUGAUGUUGUGCCUUAACCCUAGCACAAGUUACACACUCGGCCACAUACUUAGCAACAUCGAGCUUCAUCUUCGGCCACAAAUAAUAGGGUUUUAGAUCCCUAUACAUUUUUGUACUUCCGGGAUGAAUCGAGUACAUGGUCUUGUGAGCUUCUUCCAUCAGAAGAUCUCUUACUCCGCCCGUCUUAGGUACGCAAAUCCUAUCUUGGAAUACCUUCAACCCUUGGUUGUUUGUACCGAACACUAACGUUUUGCCCAAACGUUCUUCCUUUCGGUCAUUUUUCUCUAAAGCUUCCUCUUGAGCUUUCUUUAUACUUUCCACAAUUGUCGAGACAACUUCAAUUCUCAACGCUCUUGGCCUUUUCUUUUCAAGGUUUACCUUCCGACUGAGAGCAUCAGCAACAACAUUUGCUUUACCAGGGUGGUAAAGUAUCUCACAGUCGUAGUCCUUGAGUAACUCUAGCCAGCGUCGUUACCUCAUGUUCAAUUCCUUUUGAUUAAAGAGAUAUUGGAGACUCUUAUGAUCAGUGAAAAGUUUACACUUUGUGCCAUAAAGAUAAUGCCUCCAUAUCUUUAAGGCAAAUACUACCGCUACCAACUCCAGAUCAUGAGUGGGGUAGUUCUUUUCAUGUUCCUUCAAUUGCCUCGAUGCAUACGCUAUCACUUUAUCCCUUUGGAUUAGAACACAACCUAACCCAACUCCAGACGCAUCGCUAUAAACUGCAAAGUAAUCAACUCCUUCAGGCAAUGAAAGAAUCGGUGCUUCACACAAUCUCUUCUUCAACUUCUCAAAGGCUUCCUUAUGCUUCUCAUUCCAAGCAUAAGUAGCUGCUUUGUGGGUCAAAGUUGGUAAUGGAGUAGCAAUCGAAGAAAAGCGUUGGAUAAACCUUCGGUAAUAUCCAGCUAAUCCUAAAAAGCUUCGAAUCUCCAUAGGGAUUUUUGGUUGUUCCCACUUCAUCACAGCUUCAAUCUUUGUUGGGUCGACCAUUAUUCCUUCUUGAUUAACCACAUGACCUAAAAAUUGGACUUCUUGAAUCCAAAAUUCACAUUUGGAGAACUUUGCAUACAGCUUCUCCUUUUUCAGGACUUCUAGCACUUCACGCAGAUGCUUUUCAUGCUCCUGCUUGCUUUUCGAAUAAAUCAAGAUAUCGUCUAUGAAUACUAUCACGGAUUUAUCUAAGAAUGGUUUACAAACCCUAUUCAUCAAAUCCAUGAAAGCUGCUGGGGCAUUGGUUAGUCCGAACGACAUAACCAAAAAUUCAUAGUGUCCAUAUCUCGUUCUAAAAGCAGUCUUUUCGAUAUCCUGCUCUCUCACCUUUAGUUGAUGGUAUCCCGACCUAAGAUCGAUCUUCGAGAAAUAGCUCGAACCCUGCAACUGGUCGAACAAGUCAUCGAUCCUUGGCAACGGGUACUUGUUCUUUAUCGUCACUUUGUUCAGCUCUCUGUAAUCGAUGCACAUUCUCAUGCUUCCGUCUUUCUUCUUUACAAAUAACACAGGGGCUCCCCAGGGUGAUGAACUAGGUCGAAUGAAACCUUUGUCCAAUAACUCCUGAAGUUGUGUCAUAAGUUCUUUCAUUUCGGUUGGCGCUAAUCGAUAAGGUGCUUUCGCUAUCGGCGUCGUUCCUGGUAACAAGUCGAUACGAAAUUCUACUUGUCGAUCCGGGGGCAAUCCGGGAAGAUCUUCAGGAAAGACUUCCGGAUACUUACACACCACUGGAAUAUUUUGCACCUCCUUCUUUUCCAUCUUAGCAUCGAUCACGAACGCUAGAUAUGAUGUACAUCCCUUGGCCAAACACUUUAUGGCUUUCAUUAGGAAAAUGAUUCCAUAAUUUACUCUGCGUUUGUCUCCAUACACCAUAAAUGACUCUUUCUUUGGCGGGUUUACUUUUACUAUCUUCUUUCUACAUAGUAUUUCUGCAUCAUUGGCGCUAAGCCAAUCCAUUCCUAAAACUAUGUCGAAUCCAUUUAACUCGAUAGGCAAUAAUUCCUCUUGGAACUUAUUCCCAUCCAAGUCAAUGAGGAUGUUUUUCAUACGAUGGCUAACAGGUACAAACUUGCCACUAGCAAUCUCGACUAAUAAGGCAUUAACUAGCCUAUCUACAGGCAAAGCUAGCUUUCUACCAAAUUCAUGCGAUAUAAAGGAGUAAUUGGCUCCAGAAUCAAACAAAAUUUGGGCAGGCAAUUCGUUUACGAGAAAGGUACCUGAAGCAACAUCGGCUUCUUCUUUCGCAGCUUCGAGUGUCAUCUGAAAGGCUCUCACCUUUGGCUUUGGUGGUAGAUUGGGUUUUGCUGCGUCCGUCUUCUUCGGGCAAUCCCUCAAAAUAUGCCCUUCUUCAUUGCAAGCAAAAAUAUACAUUCUUAUUGAAGGUGCAUUCAUUGGCAUAAUGCCCAGGCUUUCCACAUUUGUAACAAGUGACUUCCACGCUGCACUUCCCAGCAUGUUUCUUCUUACACUUGUCACACCACUUGGCUUCGGCUCCUCCUCCAAACUUUCUCGAACCAGUCUUCAAGAAUUUGUUCUUUUUAUUGGAACUUGAAGUUCCUUCAAACUUUCUCUUUUCGCCAAUUUCAACCUUGCUGGCGGCUCUCCCUUUUAUCAUAUCUUCAACAGACUUGGCAGCCCAGAUAGUUGCCUCCAAAGUAAGUGCCUGACAUACUGGCACCAUGUACUCCCAUGGAAGUCCCUUUGCGUACCUGUCAAUUUUUGACAACUCAUCUAGGACAAUCGCAAAUCAAACUCCAUUUUUUCUGUGAAGUUAUUCGUAUAUUUGUCAACGGUCAUACUCCCCUUCUGCAACGUUAGAAAUUGAUUUUCUAACUCAAGUACUUUUUGGGCCGAGCAGUACUUGCUCUUGAAGUGCACUAAGAACUCUGCCCAAGUUAAUUGUAGUGGCUCAUUAGGGCUUAGGGUUUUCCCCAAAGUGCUCCACCAACGAGCAGCACUACCCCUGAACUGACGUACUGCAAACGUAGUUUGUAACUUGCCUUGGCAAUCACAAGUCAUGAAAGCCAACUCCAUUUCCGAGAUCCAGUCCAUUACUCCAAUGGGAUCUUCCAUUCCAGUUAAGGUCGAUGGCUUGCAAGUCAUAAAUUCCUUAUACUUGCACCCAUUUCUCUCCACUCUACCCUCGUGGUUAUUCCUCCCAACCACAAGUGGUUCACUAUGACCAACCAAUCUGCUGUUGUUCCCUUCUUCAGAUCGAUCUUCAUUUAGUUCACGUUGUUUAACAGGAACUGAAGGUUCAUCCCUGUUGUUCAGCUGCAUUUGCCUCAAUUCCUCCCUCUGUUCAACCAACAUGAUCUGAAUCAUAGUUCGUACUCCAGCCAUGGUGAUGGGUUCGGGUGUAACUCCUACUAUCGGCACCUGUUCCACCACUUGAGGUUGAGGUUGUUGGUUUCUGUUUGCAUUUCCUGCUCCACUUCGAGUUCUUGCCAUUACAAUCUAUAUACCGAAUAAGGUGAAUUUAGGUCUUUAUCCUUGUUAGACAUGUCAAUUCCCUUAUCACUCUGAAACGUUUACAUGUUAGUUCUAAUCUCGUAAUCAUACGCUUAGAAUCCUACACACAUAAGGUUUCCAGAUCCGGUCGGCAAUAGACCAUAGAUCCGAACAAAUAUCGGCACACAUGGUAAACACAUAGCAUUUAGCAUAUAAGGGCAUUUUAAACAUCUUCCCUAAAAUAAACUAGUGCUCGUGUCUAAAAUAUGGUAGACACUCAUCUCACAAUCAUCACUAAGCAUUCUAAGUUCAAGUCUAGAAAUUCUACAAUUUCUUAGUUCGCUUAAACUAAUGCUCUGAUACCAACUGUGACAUCCCCUAAUUUCUCGGCCAGAAAAGACCGAUUUAAUUUAUGCUUUUUAAAAUAAAAUCAGAGAAAUCUUUUUAAAAGAUGUUGCGGAAUUGGUCCCCAAACAAAAUAUGAUAAAAGUUUAUCAAAACCCUUCAUUAAGAAGGUAUAUGUUUUCCAUAUAUAUAUCAAAACCUCGGGAUGUCAUGUUCCGAUACAGAUCAAAAGCAUAAACAAGACAUUAUAAGCCUUUCAACAGUUAUUUACAACUACUGGCCUAUAAUCCAAAAAUCUCUCGUCAUCCUCCGACUAUGCUCGGGGUCCACUACCUGUAAUCAUAAAACUGAGUAGGUCAGGCUUGGGAGCCCGGUGAGCAUAUAGGGUUUUCAAUCCACAUUAAUAAUAUACUUAUUAAGUUCACCAAUCAACAAUAACCCUGAUUACCCAUUCAUGUUGUCCUCACUUUACAUCCCUAAACACCUAUCACAAGGGACCUAGCCUAAGGAUUAUCAUCGGGAUGGACACUACUGCUAAGGGGUUUCCUCAGCCAUACAUGUCCUUAAGGCAACCAUG